rnacentral:rRNA from 1 species
UAAAACCAGCUCAUAGAGUGGUGAUCGUGAUUAUUUGGCUUAAAGUGUGCGUAGCAGGGAAUUCUAAGUCCUCUGUGAAAUGUCAGGUCUUAAGCUUGACACGUGCAGAGGAUACUGGAAUCCUUGGGACCGGGAUAGGUGUAAUGUACGGUUUGGGUAGGGGUGAAAUCCGAUAAUCCAAGCCGGACAACCGGUGGCGAAGGCGUUACACUGGAACGGGUCCGACUGUGAGGCACGAAAGCUAGGGUCGCGAGCCGGAUUAGAUACCCGGGUAGUCCUAGCUGUAAACGAUGCUCAUUAAGUGUUAGGUAAUGCAAGACAUUCUCUAGUGCCGAAGCGAAAGCGUUAAAUGAGCCGCCUGGGAAGUACGUUCGCAAGAAUG